rnacentral:rRNA from 1 species
UACGAAGGGGGCUAGCGUUGCUCGGAAUCACUGGGCGUAAAGCGCACGUAGGCGGAUUGUUAAGUCAGGGGUGAAAUCCUGGAGCUCAACUCCAGAACUGCCUUUGAUACUGAAGAUCUUGAGUUCGGGAGAGGUGAGUGGAACUGCGAGUGUAGAGGUGAAAUUCGUAGAUAUUCGCAAGAACACCAGUGGCGAAGGCGGCUCACUGGCCCGGUACUGACGCUGAGGUGCGAAAGCGUGGGGAGCAAACAGG